rnacentral:rRNA from 1 species
AGUGUAGGCGGCUACUUAAGUCGGAUGUGAAAGCUCCGGGCUUAACCUGGGAAUUGCAUUCGAAACUGGGUAGCUAGAGUUUGGUAGAGGUAAGUGGAAUUCCGGGUGUAGCGGUGAAAUGCGUAGAUAUCCGGAGGAACAUCAGUGGCGAAGGCGGCUUACUGGACCAAAACUGACGCUGAGGCUCGAAAGCGUGGGGAGCAAACAGGAUUAGAUACCCUGGUAGUCC